rfam:Picea glauca, whole genome shotgun sequence.
GUAAUGGUGUCUUUAGACACCACCUGUAUCUUCAAACAUUUUUAUU